AUUGAACGCUGGCGGCAGGCCUAACACAUGCAAGUCGAGCGAGCGGCGGACGGGUGAGUAAUGUCUGGGAAACUGCCUGAUGGAGGGGGAUAACUACUGGAAACGGUAGCUAAUACCGCAUACCAUCAGAUGUGCCCAGAUGGGAUGAGCUAGUAGGUGGGGUAACGGCUCACCUAGGCGACGAGCCCUAGCUGCUCUGAUAGGAUGACCAGGCACACUGGAAAUGAGACACUGUACAGACUCCAAAGUGAGGCAGCAGUGGGGAAUAUUGCACAAUGGGCGCAAGCCUGAUACAGCCAUGACGCGUGUGUGAAGAAGGCCUUCGGGUUGUAAAGCACUUUCAGCGGGGAGGCGUUACCCGAAGAAGAGGCACCGGCUAACGCCGUGCCAGCAGCCGCGGUAAUAC
rnacentral:rRNA from 1 species